rnacentral:rRNA from 1 species
GACGAACGCUGGCGGCGUGCUUAACACAUGCAAGUCGAGCGGAAAGGCCCUUCGGGGUACUCGAGCGGCGAACGGGUGAGUAACACGUGAGUAAUCUGCCCUUGGCUUUGGGAUAACUACCGGAAACGGUGGCUAAUACCGGAUACGACAACCGUCUGCAUGGGCUGGUUGGGGAAAGUUUUUUCGGCCAGGGAUGUGCUCGCGGCCUAUCAGCUUGUUGGUGGGGUAAUGGCCUACCAAGGCUUCGACGGGUAGCCGGCCUGAGAGGGUGACCGGCCACACUGGGACUGAGACACGGCCCAGACUCCUACGGGAGGCAGCAGUGGGGAAUAUUGGACAAUGGGCGGAAGCCUGAUCCAGCAACGCCGCGUGAGGGAUGACGGCCUUCGGGUUGUAAACCUCUUUCAGUACCGACGAAGCGCCGAUGAUGGUGGUGACGGUAGGUACAGAAGAAGCACCGGCCAACUACGUG